CGGUGCAGCAACCCUCGCCUGGGUCAGGUCAAUCGGCUGCCAGCCGGAUUGGCCGGCGUAUCAUUCCAGAAUGUACUGUUUGUUCUGUGGGGUUUAGGAGUUCUACAGUGGUUCUGCCCCAUCUUUCUAAAAAUACAAUACAGUGUUUCACUAUGUUACCCAGGCUGGUCUUGAACUCCUGGGCUCAAGUGAUCCUCCCACUUUGGCCUCUCAAAGCACUGGGAUUACAGGGUCUUACUCUGUCGCCCAGGCUGGAGUACAGUGGUGUGAUAUCGGCUCACUGCAACCUCUACCUACCUGGUUCAAGUGAUUCUCCUGCCUCAGCCUCCCGAGUAGCUGGGACUACGGGGUCACCAAGGAAGCCAGAGUGGAGGCUGCAGGGAAUAUGGAUUUAAAUGAAUUUUGGCUGUACCAUCAAGCAGUCUGAUCACUGAGGAAAUAUCAAAAGCUUCACCCGAGUGACUCAUCACCCAAAUUCAACAGAGACUUGCCAAAGAAGCUGCUUAUUUCACAGAAGGAUGGUGCUGGCUGAAAGAUACUUCCUUGAAACUGAGAGAUUGCUUCCUUAGACAGGUCUCCUUGAAGAGCAUUCAUGAUAAGCAACCAGCA
rnacentral:lncRNA from 10 species